UUCUGUGAAUUUUCCAAGUUUGGUCUGUAAUUGAGAAAGUUCCAGAAUUUUAAAUGUUCCUCUGAUUUUCUGUUGAGAUUUGAACUUCUACUUGAAUCAUUUAAGUUCUGGUUUUUCUGUAUAUUGAACUAGACAUCCAAAUGCUUGUUUGAAAACUAAUUCCUUGUCAUUUGGAUUUGCAAUGAAUUUUUGGUGAAUUUUCGAAGUUGACCAUGCUGCUGAGAAAGUACGUGUGGAGAUAUUCAUAGACUGUUAACACAGUAAUUUGACUUAUUGGAUUUGACAAUCUUAUUUCAAAUGUCAUUUACAAUUUUAGGAAAAUCUACUCAAGUUUUGCAUAUUAUCACAUUUCUUGAAAGGAUAAACAGAUAAGAUGGAAGGCUAGCUGUUUCAGGAUUUCCAAAACUAGUAUAACUAGAACUAAAGUGUGCCACAUUUUUGAAUGAGUGAUCAUCAGCUUUUGGAUUGUUCCGAUCAAUCUUCAUCCUUUAUUUUCUGUGAAUUUAAGUAAUCGCAAGAUUUGAUUCACUUACUUCUCUGUUUCAUAUCCUAUUGAACUUCUUGUUCACUCUGGCUUGAAGAAGGUUCUUCAACAAUGGCUUGCUUGAGGCUAGGAUAGACUCCACAGAGGAGACAUCACGCCUUCCUUGGUCUGGUUUGAAGUCAACUAUGGCCUUCUUCUGCUCUUCAGGAAGAUAGCUGCAGGUUUCCAAAGGCUUUCAUGGCAACCAAAAGUACCUCCUCCUCAGUUUUUCCUUCUUCCUCUUCUUCAUAUCCACCUUGGACCUAUGAUGUCUUCCUCAGCUUCAGAGAGAUUGUUGAGUGCAUGAAAGAGAUGGGACAGACGGUGCUUCCCAUUUUCUAUAAUGUAGAUCCAUCAAAUGUACGGAAACAAACGGGAAGCUUUGCAGAAGCCUUUGAUGCACAUGAAGAACACUUCAAGGAUAACUUAGAAAAAGUGCAAAGGUGGAGAGCUGCUUUGACUGAAGUGGCCAAUCUUUCCGGAUUUCAUCUCCAAGAUGGAUAGAUAUGUACAAGGGGACUGCUGAUACAGAAAGGGAUACUGCAAAUAGAUAUGUACAAGGGGACUGCUGAUACAGAAAGGGAUACUGCAAGCACAACCCCAGGGAAAUGGUGAAGGUAUGGGCUGAGAAAGAAAAGAGGAAUCUGGACAGGAUGGUGAAAAAUCGAAUUACAUGCCCAACUGCAAUUGAUAUAAAAGAUCAUGUUCUGGUCAUGAAAUUCAUAGUUAAUUUUGGAACUUGGUCCGUACAUUGAGGAGCUCACAAAAACAGGAGGUGCCAUAAAGGAGUUUGUUAACCCAAAACACAAAGACACUAGUAAGACUUCAUUCAAGCCCUCAACUCGGUCAGUGUAUGAUGCAAGACUACCCAAAAACAUGGGAAUAUCAGAAAUGCUCAAGCUUCAA